rnacentral:lncRNA from 1 species
UUCCUUUUUCUCCCUAAUACUCACUUCCCAAGGUGUGUAAUUAAAUUUUGUAUUCUACUUUAUUUGUCCUAUUAUACUCUCAGAUUUCAACUCCUGGUCUACUCUUCAUGGAAUUUCUCUUGUCUUCUCACUUUUAAAGAACUCUUAGUUUCCUAUUUCAAGGAGUCCUAUUUAGAGGGUUAAUUAGAGGUGAUCCAGCAGAGUUUUCUAAUUUUACAAUAUUUUAACCAUAAAUGGAAGCACUAACUGUCUCUUCACUAGAAUUAAUUUUCUUUUUUUUUUCAGGUCACAACUAGGAUCUAUUUCCUGCCUUUUCUUACGACCAUGAAUCAUGAAUAUUAAUGCAAUUCCAUUAAGGUUGCCACGGAGUGUCCAGGAUGCUGGUGGAGGGGGCGGUAGGCUGCCACUUUAUCAUGUUAUUGGAUUUGUUUAAAGAAAGGUUCCUGACACGAUUUUCCAAAUGCAGCCUGGUGAGCAGUCCCUGCCAUCAGUUCUGGGAUUUUAUGCUGUUAAGUACCAUUUCUCUGUGGAAUGUAAAUGCAAAAGCAACAACAACAAAUUCAGCAUAAACAAUGGCGCAAAAUGAGAAAGAACAAAAAGUCUUUAAAGGAAGCAUCACAAAAGCAAAGUUUGAACAGAGAACAGCAGAAAAUAUCGAUGAGAAAAUAUAUUUCCCACAGAUUAAAAAAAAGUAUGAGUCAGAAAUAGUCCCCAUUUGCUUAGCAUCUAACAGUUCUAUUUGGAAAAGCAUAGAAUCUGUGGCACAAAAGCAAAUAUAUCUUAAUUGGGCUCACUUGCAUCCACCUGCUACAGUUCCUUUUUAGUCACACUGAAUUUGUCUAACAACACUUGUUUACAUUCCCUUGCUAGCACAUUAGCAUUUAUUUCAUUUCAUAAAAUAAGAAAUAUGGCCAGUUUAAAAUGUUGAAGAUACAGUGGCCAAGAAACUUAAGGUCAGCUUGUGGAACACAGCAAUCAACUUGGACUUCUCAUUGUGAAAUAUUACUCUUAGAUCAUCACAUGCUACCAAACGUCCUCGAUUAAUUGAAACAUUCAUCCAACAAUUAUUUAUUGAACAGCUGCUGUGUGCCAGACAAUCUGCUAGGAACUCAGAUGAAAAGUGCACCAGGCAUUGUGGCAGCUCCCUUUACCGCAGCUUUUGUCUGUUUCAGUUCCUCAACACUACCUCCCACCGCCCCAUCCAGGUCUGCGCAAAACAGUUGCAAGUCCUCUUGACUGAGCUCUGAAUCUACACAAGCAAAGAUGAUAUGCCACCCCCACAUGCCAUCAAUAUUACGUCCCCCACAGCCUCUAAGGCAUGAACUUAGUGGCUCAUUGAUGUUCGUGGAGCUUCUGCAUUGUUUCCUCUAUCCCUUUUAUUAUCAAAUGGACCCAAUAUCUACUGCUGCCAGUAAAGUAUACAGGCACUUGCGAAACUGCUGUGACUUUUAGGGCAGUAACUGGGCUGAGCCUCUGGAUCUCAUAGAGAGCACUUCGAUGGGACUAUGAGGCUUGACAUAGUUUUGCCUUAUUGUGAGAAUAGACAUAACUUCCUCUGUUGCCAAGAGAUGGACUCAGGUCCAGGAUUGCUGUCUUUCUUUCAGUCUCUUCACUUCCUGACAGCCAGACACCUUCUGAUGUAUUCAGACAUGAUCAAAGAAGGCCCCAUUACCCCUUCCAGCCACAUUUUUGAAUACUGUGUCUAUCAUCCCCAGCACAGUAUGGUACUACAAAGUCCAUUUCCUAAUCAUAGCCCAGGUAAAUGAUAUCUCCUCACUCAUCUUGUGUAUUGAUCUUUAUCCCUCAUUCUUCAAAAUGUGAGUGAACAUCCCAGCAUAACUGAACUUUCUCAUAAUAUACCUAUGAUUUUCUGCUCAUCCGUCCUAUCACAUUUCAAAGGAAGACAUUUAACAACUUGCGUUGUCCCCAAAUCAGAAUUCAUCCUUCUGUAUUACCAAAUUGACUGAGUAUCUAAGCCUCACUUCCAACCCAGAGGUUUUACCUGUUUAUCUAAUCCCAGUGACCCCUGUAUAGACUGCAAGACUGCCCGGAGCUCUGGUUGGAUAAUUGAGGACUUGCUUCUUGUGAUCUGAGGUCUCAGAUGGAAAUAUUGAUUAACCGUCCUAUCAACAUCUCAGAAGAAGGCAAAAGCUGGAAGUCCAAAAUCCAAGUGCCACCAAGCUCAGUGUCUGGGGAGGGCCUGGUCUCUGCUUGCAAGGUGAGGACUUCGUGUGUUCUCCGGAGAAGAUGAACGCUUUCAUCUCGCCCAGCAGAAGAGCUAGAAGAACAAAUAGGGCAUAGCUACUUCCCUCAAGCCCUUUUUUAUAAGGGUACUAAUUCAUUCAUGAGGAGUAAAACCCUCCUGAUUUAAUCAUUCUAAAGGCCCCAUCUUUUAAUACUGUAACUUGAGUCUCAAAAUAUGAAUUUUGAGGGACACAUACAUUCUAGCCAUGGCACUUUCGAAUACUCCAGCAUGCAUCUCCAAAAAAUACAUUUUUCUAGAAAACCAAAAUGCCAUUAUCAAAUUUAGAAAAACUAACAGUGACUCCUUAAUGUCCUCUAUUAUCCAAACCCAUUUAGCCUACAUAUGUCACCCUAAACUUGGAUAAGUUCACACACUGCAUUAGAUUGUCUUGUUCCUUAAAUGUCUUUAAAUUUCUCCUGCACAACCAUCUUUUUAUUUUUCUCAUAAUAUUGUCCUUUGGACAGCCUAAAACUUUUUGUUUUGUGUAAUGUACUAUGUUUGGGUUUUAUCUGAUUACUUUCUCAUCGUGCUGUUUAAUUUGUUUCUUUAUCCCCUAUAUAUCUUGUUAACCAGAAGUUAAGUCUGAGUGCUUAAUUAGAUUCAAAUUAAACAUCAUUGUGUAUACAUUAUAUUGCAUUGCUUUAUGAGCUGCAUAAUUUCAAGUUGUCCCACUAUUAGUUAUGCUAACUUUGAACUUUUGG